rnacentral:lncRNA from 1 species
AUGGGGAAAUUGGAGGAGAGAGAAAUGAGGGAGUUGCUGUGUUGGUGCUUUUUGCAUGCAAUUCGCCCGACGGAACGUGUCGGGGAUUUGAUGGCACCUGGGUCAGCGCUCCAUACUCGUCCUGCGGUGCGUGUUAGUCAGCUGGUGAAGUUGGUGCCAGCCUCACGCACCAGGCCUCCUGUGCACAUCCCUAGCCUUGCACGUCCUGUGCCAGCACUGCUCUCAAGAUCUCCAGUACGCCUUCACGGUCUAGCCCAUCCUGUGCCACCUCCACACACCAACCCUCCGGUGGCAGCUCCCCGCACCAGGCUUCCUGUGCGUGUUCUCGGCCCAGUUCCACCAGUGCUAGCACCACGCAUCAGGCCUACAGUGCGCCUCGCCUCUCCAGCGCUGCCGGAGUCUCCCGUCUAUCUAGCACUGUCAGAGCCUUCCUCAUCUCCUGCGCUGCCGGAGUCUCCCGCCUGUUCAGCGCAGCUAGAGCCUUCUUCCUCUACAGCGCUGCUGGAGUCUCCUGCCUGUUCAGCGCAGCCAGAGCUGCCAGCCUGCAUGGAGCAGCCAGAGCUGCUAGCCUGCAUGGAGCAGCCAGAGCUGCCAGCCUGCAUGGAGCAGCCAGAGCUGCCAGUCUGCAUGGAGCAGCCAGAGCUGCCAGUCUGCAUGGAGCAGCCAGAGAUGUCAGUCUGCAUGGAGCAGCCAGAGCUGUCAGUCUGCAUGGAGCAGCCAGAGCUGCCAGUCUGCAAGGAGCUGCCAGUCUGCAAGGAGCUGCCAGUCUGCAAGGAGCUGCCAGUCUGCACGGAGCUGCCAGUCUGUACGGAGCUGUCAGUCAGCCAGACUCUUCCAGAUCUGCCAGUCAACCGGACUCUUCCAGAUCCGCCAGUCAACCGGACUCUUCCAGAUCUGCCAGUCAACCGGACUCUUCCAGAUCCGCCAGUCAACCGGACUCUUCCAGUGCCGCCAGUCUGCCCAGCGCCGCCAGUGCCGCCAGUCUGCCCAGUGCCGCCAGUCUGCCCAGCGCCUCUAUUCGUCUCUUCGCCA